rnacentral:rRNA from 1 species
GACCGAGAGUUCAAGAGUACGUGAAACCGUUUGCAAGUAAACAGAUGGACCCACGAAGUCCUGUUGAGUAAGAGAUUCAUAUACUUCAGGAGGCUUAUAGUUGUUUAGCUUCACUUUUAUCAAGUGACUAUGCAAUUAUUACUGUCAACUGAAUGAUGCAUUUCUCUUGCUCACGUUGGAGCUCUGACUACUGAUUAAAUGUUAAAUGUUAGCUUGACUAAGUGAUGUAGACCUUUGGGCUCUAAACUUACUUUAGUUGAGUGUAAAAUUUACAUUACAAUGAGUAGGUGAAUUACUUACAAUUGUAAGUGUAUUCAGAUCAUUAGUAUUGUUAAGAUGCUAAUUGUUGUUGUAUAAUGUUCUUUCAAGACUUGUGCUUGAAGACUUUAUACAUGCAGCAAUUACAAGUAUGUUAAAUGAAUGCUUUGAUGAUGAUCCAGAGUAAGUAGGUCGGUCAUCCAUCUGACCCGUCUUGAAACACGGACCAAGGAGCCCAACAUAUAUGCAAGUCGCACAGUCUUGCAUAGGCUUGUGAGGCGAAAUAAACAUAAUGGUGUGACCAUAAGCAUUAAACAUGUGAAUGAGCAACACCAACCUGUUCAUACUAUUUAUUUAGUUGAACGGCGUUUGAGCAUACAUGUUGGUACCCGAAAGAUGGUGAACUAUACUUGGGCAAGACGAAGCCAGAGGAAACUCUGGUGGAGGUCUGUAGCGAUUCUGACGUGCAAAUCGAUCGUCAGACCUGAGUAUA